rnacentral:rRNA from 1 species
AGCAUAUAAGUAAGUGAGAAAGAAAAUGAAUAUGAUUCCCUUAGUAAGGGCGACUGAACCGGGAAGAGCUCAACAUGCUAAUCCGUGCUUGCACUGAAUUGUAGUUUUAAGCAUCACCAGGAGAGACGCGGGCGCAAGUCUUUUUGGAACAAAGCAUCAGAGAGGGUGAGAAUCCCGUCUCGUCUGUAGUUCUCUCCGUUCGGUGUGUUUUAAGAGAGUCGCGUACUUUGGAAGUGGUGCGCUAAAUGGGAGGUAAUUUUCUUCUAAAGCUAAAUACUGACUCGAGACCGAUAGCAAACAAGUACCGUGAGGGAAAGGUGAAAAGGACUUUGAAAAGAGAGUUAAAAGUGCCUGAAAUCGCUAAGAAGGAAGCGAAUGAAACCAGUUUCUUAUCACAAGAUUGCUUUACGAUAUCUGGAUCUGCGCUUUGGUCACUUCGGGGCUCUGGCGUUGUUGAAGGGGACUUGUGGAGUGUUUCUUGUGGUUAGUCGUCAAAGUCAAUUGCGUGUUCGAGGAAAUCUGCGUGAUGUCGUCAGUUCCGCUGUUGUGGUUCUUCGGCUUGCGUAAGGGCUCUUACCGCGAUUGAGGAAUGCGUGCGAUGGUUGAAAAUCUGGGCGACAGUUUGUAGUAAUCCUAGAUUGCUGCUCUCCUAGCUUUGAAAAGAAUGCUAUCGUCCAAGACUUGACUAAAUGUUUUCCCG